rnacentral:rRNA from 1 species
UACGUAGGGGGCGAGCGUUAUCCGGAUUUACUGGGCGUAAAGCGCGUUAAGGCGGUUGGCAAAGUUGGUUGUGAAAUCUCAGGGCUCAACCCUGAAAUUGCGACCAAUACUGGUCGACUAGAGUGUGAGAGAGGAAGGUGGAAUUCCCGGUGUAGUAGUGAAAUGCGUAGAUAUCGGGAGGAACACCAGUGGCGAAGGCGGCCUUCUGGCUCAUAACUGACGCUGUAGCGCGAAAGCGUGGGGAGCGAACAGG